UACGUAGGCAGCGAGCGUUGUUCGGAAUUACUGGGCGUAAAGAGUGUGUAGGCGGUGCUCUAAGUUCGGUGUGAAAUCUCCUGGCUCAACUGGGAGGGUGCGCCGGAAACUGGAGUGCUUGAGCGUGGGAGAGGAAAGCGGAAUUCCUGGUGUAGCGGUGAAAUGCGUAGAUAUCAGGAGGAACACCUGUGGUGUAGACGGCUUUCUGGACCAUAGCCGACGCUGAGACACGAAAGCGUGGGUAGCAAACAGG
rnacentral:rRNA from 1 species